CAGAGGCCCCAAGCGUUACUGAGAAUCACUGGGUUUAAAGGGUGCGUAGGUGGCGCGUUAAGUCCGUUGUGAAAGCCCUGGGCUCAACCCAGGAACUGCUUCGGAUACUGGCGCGCUUGAGGCUAGUAGGGGUCACUGGAACUGACGGUGGAGCGGUGAAAUGCGUAGAUAUCGUCAGGGACGCCAAUGGUGAAGACAGGUGACUGGGCUAGUUCUGACACUGAGGCACGAAAGCGUGGGGAGCGAACGGGAUUAGAUACCCCGGUAGUCCACGCCCUAAACGAUGCAGACUAGACUGCAGCGGGUUACACCCCGUUGCGGUCGGAGCGAAAUUGUUAAGUCUGCCACCUGGGAAGUACGGUCGCAAGGCUA
rnacentral:rRNA from 1 species